GACGAACGCUGGCGGCGUGCUUAACACAUGCAAGUCGAACGCUGAAGCCCAGCUUGCUGGGUGGAUGAGUGGCGAACGGGUGAGUAACACGUGAGUAACCUGCCCCCUUCUUUGGGAUAACGCCCGGAAACGGGUGCUAAUACUGGAUAUUCACUGGCCUUCGCAUGGGGGUUGGUGGAAAGGUUUUUUCUAGUGGGGGAUGGGCUCGCGGCCUAUCAGCUUGUUGGUGGGGUGAUGGCCUACCAAGGCUUUGACGGGUAGCCGGCCUGAGAGGGUGACCGGUCACAUUGGGACUGAGAUACGGCCCAGACUCCUACGGGAGGCAGCAGUGGGGAAUAUUGCACAAUGGGCGAAAGCCUGAUGCAGCGACGCCGCGUGAGGGAUGACGGCCUUCGGGUUGUAAACCUCUUUCGCUCAUGGUCAAGCCGCAGCUUUGGGUUGUGGUGAGGGUAGUGGGUAAAGAAGCGCCGGCUAACUACGUGCCAGCAGCCGCUGGAAUACGUAGGGCGCGAUCGUUGUGCGGAAUUAUUGGGUGUGAAAGGGCGUGGUGGCUUUGUGUGCGGCUGCCUUGAAUCCCUCUGGUGUAACUGGGUGGUGUGGUGUUGGUGAUUUGCUGAUCUUGUUUUGUGUGUGGGAUACUGGAAUUCUGGUGUUGUUGUGAAUGCUCCAUUUUGUGAACAUCUGCUGUGUGUGUAGGUGGUGUUUGUGGUGUAAUUUGGGGUUAAAUGUGAAGUGCGUGGGUUGGUGCUGAUUGUUGUGUGUGUGUGGUUGUGUUGUAUGUGUGAUUGAGAUGGUGGUAUUGUUAAUGGUGGCAAGAAGAAUAAAAGCAGAUGCUGUUUUGUGUAUCGUGUUCUGGUGUGAACUUUGCCCUGUGGUUUCCGCUAUAGUGCUGUGG
rnacentral:rRNA from 1 species